CACACUGGACUGAGACACGGUCCAGACUCCUACGGGAGGCAGCAGUGGGGAAUAUUGCACAAUGGGCGCAAGCCUGAUGCAGCCAUGCCGCGUGUGUGAAGAAGGCCUUCGGGUUGUAAAGCACUUUCAGUCGUGAGGAAGGUAGUGUAGUUAAUAGCUGCAUUAUUUGACGUUAGCGACAGAAGAAGCACCGGCUAACUCCGUGCCAGCAGCCGCGGUAAUACGGAGGGUGCGAGCGUUAAUCGGAAUUACUGGGCGUAAAGCGCAUGCAGGUGGUUUGUUAAGUCAGAUGUGAAAGCCCGGGGCUCAACCUCGGAAUAGCAUUUGAAACUGGCAGACUAGAGUACUGUAGAGGGGGGUAGAAUUUCAGGUGUAGCGGUGAAAUGCGUAGAGAUCUGAAGGAAUACCGGUGGCGAAGGCGGCCCCCUGGACAGAUACUGACACUCAGAUGCGAAAGCGUGGGGAGCAAACAGGAUUAGAUACCCUGGUAGUCCACGCCGUAAACGAUGUCUACUUGGAGGUUGUGGCCUUGAGCCGUGGCUUUCGGAGCUAACGCGUUAAGUAGACCGCCUGGGGAGUACGGUCGCAAGAUUAAAACUCAAAUGAAUUGACGGGGGCCCGCACAAGCGGUGGAGCAUGUGGUUUAAUUCGAUGCAACGCGAAGAACCUUACCUACUCUUGACAUCCAGAGAACUUUCCAGAGAUGGAUUGGUGCCUUCGGGAACUCUGAGACAGGUGCUGCAUGGCUGUCGUCAGCU
rnacentral:rRNA from 1 species